UACCUGGUAAUCAAAAAGGAAUGUAGUUUAAAUUCACACAUUAUCGCCUUUGGGCAGAGUCUAUUGUAUCACCAUACAUAGGUAUUAUGUUUACUUCCAGAAUUUAUUGAGUUUCUUUUUUUUCCCCUUUUUUUCUUUUAUUUCUUUUGGUCUCAAUCAUCUGGGGGGAACUAAGACUUAGUUUUCACUGCUCUUUGGCACCUUUGUCAUAAAAGGAGGUCCUGGUGACUUUUAUAUUGAUAAGGCAGGAUUUCAUGGAGACAUGGGAAGACCUUUGAUUAAUAUAUAUCUUUGAAGAUGCGUUUUUAUGUUACUCUUUUAUAGUCCAAAUAUGCAUUUGAACCGCUUCUCAAAUUUUUGUAGUCAUUAUAUGAGUUCUGUUAUUUAGGGCUGUCCUUCAUAAGUGAAUGAGAUUAAUUUGUAAGAAAUCUAAUUCACAUGAGGUUAAGAUCAUGUGUUCUGAAUCCAUACUGCCUACUAUUUACUAUUUGAAUCCCAGCCCUACUAUUUACUAGCUGUGUUGCCUUAAGUGAGUUAUUUAGAAUUUGCUUUGCAUUCAUUUAUUUUUCUUUAAAAUGUGAGUCAUAGCAGUACCUCCAUCAUGACGCUAUUGUUCAGGUUAAGUGGAAUGAUACUUCUGAGGUAUUUAAAAUGUUGUUUAGGAAGUAUAAGCACCACUAUCUUUAUUAUUUUCUAAAUUUGGGCUAUGGCAGGGGAUUUAAUACAAUGCCUCACACCUGGAGUGAGCUAGAAUUUAAAGACAAAUUUUGUAAGGGAAGAGACCCAUGCUUCAGGCUCAGAGCCAAAGAUUUCCUUUUGUUGGGGAGUGUGUGGAUGGCCCAACACCAUCCAUAGUACCCAGAAUGGUUCUUUGGAGGCUGUGGAAGAGAGUUCUGAAUCCUAUGAAUUUCCUUGGACAGAGCAAGGCAUGCUCAGGAUUUUGGUGAGUUUAGUUUGUAAUUUGAAGCUUUGCAGAUGUAUCUAGUUCCAUGUCUUAUAGACAUAGCUCUUGUAAAUUCUCUGAUAAGUGUUCCCAAGAAAGUUUGAGAGUAUACUACCUUGUAUAGUAGUUUGUAUAACAAUGCUAAUUUAUGUGAUUAAUCAGUAUUGAAGAGACAGCCUGUGCAAAAGGUUGUUUAAUGAGCCAUUUAGCACACAAAUAUUGCCAGUGUGAACUCUUAAUAUUGAAUCUGGCAUCGUAGCAGGAUAUUUAACAGGCAUGACUCAUAUAAAGAAUUGGCUCAUGCAAUCCAUGAUUUGAUAUCUUUGGAACAUUUGUUCUAACUUCAAAUCAUUCACCUGACCACAUGUCAUUGUCUAGGUUGUAUCUUCACAUGGUUGGCUCCCUUUACUUUAUCCAUCACACUUUCCUCUUCUUGUCUCUAUGGAAGUUUUUCCCAGCACGAGGGAGACUGGGGCCAGUAGUUCCCACUGCACUGCUCUGUUGUUCUCUUACAGUCAUUGCCUCCUUACUGGUCCCUCAGACUGAGGGCUGAAAGCACUGAAAAGUAAAUCAUAACGUCUUUUCACAAGGAAAGUUAGGGCUUCUUGGGUCUAGUGAAACUCAUUUAUUUAUUUUUGGUUAACCUACUGUGUUUUUAGGUUGGCUCUGACCAAUGAUGACUCUGAGAUGUCCAAUGUAAACUCUUCUCUGACCCGCUGUGGGGAAGGCACUGUGUUUAUUGCUCUUGGUAAUCCUGAGUCCUCCAAAUAUCAGACUCAGGACAGUAAAAUUUCACUGGUUGUGAAUGUGGCCAUGGUUAAGUUUUGUGUAACCAGACAUGCAAGGCUGAGGAAAUUAGUGUAAGAGCCAUUAGGCUCCUCAUUUAGGCCAUGUUGAGAAGAAUUGCUUGGGAAUGGAUUAUUAGUUAUAGUUGCCAUCUUUGCCUAGGUCAGCCCUAGAGGGGAUUUACUCCUGACCGUCUCCAUCAACGUUACGUAUAUCUCUGACGCUUGACCCUUUCACAUUCAGCUGGUGCCAUUCUUGUGCAAGUGCAAAGAUAAGUAUUUGGAAGGACUCAGAUAGCACUUCAGUACCUAUGAUCUUGGUUUGGGUCACUCCUGAUUAAAUAUUCUUUUCCUGAUAGUUGGGUCACUGAGGAUUGGCUUUUUUCAGAUAUGAUUCUCAUAGCUCUAAAUUUCUAAAAGAUACUCCCCCAAAGAGGCACACAUCAGCUUCUUGUUAAGUACCCUGGUCAGUUACAUAGAAAAUCAUCUAUUUGAAAUUUUCCAUGUAAAAAGUGAGGGAACCACAGUCUAAAGAAGUGAAUGACUCAGUCUAGCAUAAUGACUCAUUAGUGGCAGAGCUGGAGGAACAAUUGUGGCUUUUUCAAUUCCAGAUUUUCUGCUACCACAGUGGGCAACCAUCCAACCAAUUAAUGGACAUUGGAACCUUGACUUAUGGAGCUAGGAUUCUUGAAUGUGCUGUGCCUCCUUCAUUUCCCAUCGUGCAAGUUCACUGCAGGCCAUCCAGUGUGCCUGUCUCAUUAUUCCUUGGCUGGCAGCACUGAAGACGUGGUGCUUUGUGCAAAAGUCCUGACAAAGCAGUGGGAACCAGCCUCUAAAUGGUGCCAUCUCCUGAAUGUAAACUUGAGUGAGAAAAGAGAAAGAAGAUGGGGUCAGGACAAGAAACACGCACCGUGAGAUGAGUAGUGUGGCCCAGUUACACACUACCCACCAUGAUCCUGAUACACUGCCUCGUCACAGGCCCAGCGGCAAUGGGGACCAACUGACCGAAGAAAGAAACCUUUGAAACUGUGACCAGAAUCAAACAUUUCUUCUUUUAAAUUUCCCCUAGGAAGUGUUUAUACUCAUCUGCAUCUUUAACAACUGGACACAUUGGAAGAGAACAUACUGGAGAAUUUCAAGAAAAAUGAAUAAGUUGAGAACAGUAGGUUUUCACAUCUUGAUUUGAAUCUGUCUGCCUUCACCUUGUGCUUUAUGCAAAUCAACUGUCCUCCAAUGACAAAAGGGUGAACAUCAUUGAUACCAAUCAGAAUUUAAACUUAAAUUUUAAUGUUAGCAAUUGCGCUUUGGUAAACCCCAACUCAGUGCAUAGUAUGGUGGAGUUUAUUAUCAAAAGAACACCAUAGUGUCUUCUAUGGCAUGGUGAAAUAAAAUAAAACAUCAAUAUUCAUCUUCAAUCCAGCCACCACAAUAAAUCAGCUGUGCUUGUUUCAGUCUCAUCAUUAUUUCAAAGAAAAUAAUUCAUUUCUCACCAUAUCUUUACAUCUAGUUUCCUUAUAUUUUGGCAACACUGAAAAAAGUAGCCUGAACUGGCAAAAGGGGCUUCAUCUGCAGAGUAAGAUGCAAGUUUAAAUCCACCUUUUUCAAACUGUGAGUCUGGACUGGUCAGUGCUUGUGCGCUUCAUGUAUACAGUAGCAGAGCACUAAGGGCUCAGAAGUUGUGUCCAUUGCUACUGAUCUUAGCUCAGCUGUGUACCCUUAGCUCAGUCCACUGUUCACUUCAGUGUGAAAGGCCACCCAGGCUGGCUGCUGUUAGACACUCUUGCUAUUAUUGCACAUGUGUUUUCUGUACAAGAGGUUUUACUUGAUCUCAAAGAGUGAAAAGAAAGGAGUAAACUUAUGGGAAGCUCUCUAUGUGUAUUGGACCUCACUGUGAUCUAAUUUUAAGGAGACUAGCAACGAAGCUAUGAUGAUGUUUAGUCUCACAUCAUGCAUUCUGUCUGAGUUACUUCUAUCAUUGCUGAAACAAAAUACUUGACACCCAACAUUAAAGGGGAAAUAUUUACUUAGCUCACAAUUUGUAGAAAUUUCAGCCCAUAAUUGACUGGCUCCAAUGCAGGGUGGCAUGGCAGACAGGAGUUGCAGAGGAGAAACAGUUCAUGGUGGGUAGCAAAGCAACAGGGAUGACCAUGGCUCUUCUUAUCUCUUAUAUCUUAUCUGGGCUACUUAGGAAGGGUAGCAUUCACACCCUAAUCCUGUGCCCUUGAUCCUAGCAUUGCACCAUGAAUCAAUCCCAGUGUCACAUACUGUAGAUCCAGCCACCUCCAAAAAAGCCCCAUCUACAUAUGCAUGAGACUUUACAAGGGAGAUCUAGACACAGGCUAUAGCAUGUUCUAAGAACAAACCUUGUUACAUACAGGCCUAUUGUUUGCCAAUAAUUUUCUUCCUCACUUCUGCUUUAGCUCUUGUCUUUACACAUUCAUUCAUUCACUCAUUCAUUUACAUGUUCAUUCUUUCACCAUUUAUAUUUUCACUCAUGGCUGCCAUCCAAGGUUUUUCUUUUUUUAUCAGCAGUAUAUUCUCAGACCAGAUUAAAAAAUUAAAUGAUAACUUUGUUACAAUUUCAAGUUGUAUGGAAACAGCCAAUCGGAUUAGUGUAUGCCAGCUUUCCGGGUGGUUGUUUACUGUAACGUUAGUGUUAAUUAUGAGAAUUCAAAGUAGAUUUGAAGUAGACUAUGAAAGAGAUUCUGUCAUAUUUAUGGGGAUGGAAUGAUCUAAGCUUUGCGUGAGUAAGUAAUGGUAUUUUUAUUUUCAAACACAAACUUUAAAUCAUAAUCUGAUGUGCAAAGUUUUCCUGUUUGUUUCAGCAAUGAUUGAACAUAGUGUCCUUGGCAAGACUGACUGUUGGAAUUUCCUAUUCAACUAAAUUCUUUUUUUUUUUUUUUUUUUGUCUUUUUCAUUUUUAUCAGUACUGGGGAUUGAACUCACGACCGCCUGCUUGCAAGGCAGGUGCUUAUGCCGCUGAGCUAAAUCCCCAGCCCUCCAACUAAAUUCUUAAAUUGAGAAAUAUUUAAUUAAGCAAACAAAUAAUAUUUUUUCUUAAGACUUAAUCAAUCAUUUUGUGAGUAGUACAGAGUGAAUGAGGGAUGCAGAGUCAGACCAAUUUGCUGAUACCUUACUUACUGGCUUUGUGAUCAUGGUCAAGUUACUUAAACCGGUUUCUUUGUUUUCUCUUGUAAAAUGGGGCUCAUUAGUAACUCCAACAUGGGUUUUUGUGAAGCUUUAUUGGGAUAAAAAUGUUUAAAAAUAAUUGGCUCAAAAUAUAUGUUCAGUAAAUAUUUUCUUCCUUUGCUAUUAUUAUAGGUCACUAAAGUUAAGCUUAUUAAAGUAUCCAUAGGUUAGGAUCAGUUAAACUAAGAAGGUUGUAAAAUAGCCAUGAUACUGGCUUCUUUUGAGACUCAGUAAAUUGCCCUUGAAAUGUGACUGAAUCUUCUGUAUGGUCAAUUUUAAGGGGAAAUUUGAAUUUUUAAAAGAUCUGGUUCUGAUAUCUGGGUCCAAAUAAUCUUAGGGUCAGGGCAAAAUUUGUCUUUAUAGGUUUAACUUGUGUAGUUUAUUGGCAAACCAUAAUGACAUCAAAAUUCUUUUUUCUGAAGAUUGAUAAUUUUUAUUAUUGGAUUGGCUGGUAGACAGCAAUUAAAAAAGGUGUUAGGUGGAGGUGUAGUUCAGUGUUAGAGCCCUUGCUUCACACGUGUGAAUUCCUGUUUCCAUCAAUAUCACAACACACACCCAUGUACACAUACACACAUAUACCUGCAUGCAUGCUCAUAAAGAAAAAUAUCCUCAUAAGUGAUUGUUCCUACAUUUUUGUUCCUACAUUUAGUUGGCUAAAAUAGCUGUGUAUGUAUUUGGAUAAAUCUAGUAAAAUUUUCUUAGUUUUCCCAGGAUAAUAAAGGACAGAUGUUUAACACUUGUGUGUGUGUGUUUCAAAUGCUUCUUUUGCCAAGACCUCAAGCUUGGAGUUAGGGAUAAGAUACAAACAGCACAAACACAGUUUCUAUGUUCAAGGAGCUUAUUAUUAUUAUUAUAUUAAAUUUAAAUAUAUUAAAUGUUUGGGACAAAGACACAUAGGCUUGAUCUCAAAGGAAUGUUACUUCCAAAACAUAAAUUUUACUCACACAUUUACUUAAAUUAUAAGCAAUGCCUAAAAGCUAUAUUCUGCACAAAUGUUUUUAGUCUGUAGAAUUUGGUAUAAUUUACUUUAAUGUAAGUGAUCAUGUUCAAAGAUUUUCCUAAUUUAGAAUUUUCAGAAUAUUGGAAAACUGUGUAACAAAACCAGUUAGUUAAGAUAACACAGAUUUUGAAUUUAAGAUCUUUUGAUCUUGAGCUGGACUACAGUUUAUCUUUGACUAUCAAAAUAACAAGGCUAUUUAAAUUUUUAAUAUUUCUAUUAGCACAUGUUUGCAGUACAUAAUGAUCACGUUCAUUGUGGGGGAGUUGAUACAUGUACAUAAUCUAUUUUAAUUCUUUUUACUGACUUCUCCUUGUUUUCCUCCUCCUUCCAUCUCUUAGUCCAUUUCCCACUUGCAAAUAGUCUAUCUCCCUGUUUCCUAUGAUCUGUUCUCUAGAAAAUAAAAGGAUGGUAAAAAUGUCACUAAGCUUAAAUCAAACUUAUACAGCAGAAGUGACUCACUUAUUACAAAGACAAAGUACAAAAACCUAUAAGAUAACCUUUUUUCCUUAUGGAACACUGUUAUUUUGACCUUAGAAAUCAAUACUUGGGUGGUUACUAUCUCAUGGGUAGUUGCUAUAAUGAGCUGAAAUAAUAAAAUUGCAUUUUGCAAAAUUGCACUCUUUAAAACUGUUCUAUAAUUUUCUCUUUUCUUUCUUCUGACUGAAUUUGACAUCUUCAUAGCUUAAAAUGAAUGUGAUUGAAUCUUUUUGCUACUUUUCCUACAGUUAGAGGCAAUAUUGUAAAUCUCAAAAUGUGUCAUUGGGCCAGUUGCAUUAGAAAUAUUCAGGGGAGCUUUGACAAAUCUCAAGUCUGAGUUGCUUUGGGCACAGCCCAGAUGUACAUAUUUUAGUAGUGCUCCCUAGCUGAUCCUGAUUGUGCAAUGAAUUUUGGAAUUGUCACCUCUAGGAUGGUAUCACUGGCUUCAGCUAUAUUCCUAUUAAGCUGGUAUCUCCCUAAACCACUGUCUUUGAUCCCUGGUAGAGUCCUCUAAUUAAACUUCUUGGCAUAGAUACUUCUCCUUUUCUUUCCUGCCCUCAGGGUAAGGGAAUACCGACUAGCACAGAGCACAGUCAGGAGACUGGACCCCUUGCUAUUCUCUCUAGUCUCCGCAGUCAUUUCUGAGCCACCUAUAUCUUUGUACUAGCAAUAGGCUGUGACUUUCUGUUCUCUUAAGUGUACCAGGUUCUUAAGCUUCCAUAACCUUGCAAAUGCUGUUUACCCUGCCCAGAAGAGCAUUUCUCCAUAUUUACAUGCCUCAUCUCUACUUACUGUUAAGGCAAAUGACAGCAUUACACCGUGGAACCCUGUGCUAUUCUCUGCUGAAUGAGGUUCUAUACUUUCAUAGAAUUCAGUGUAUCAGCCCUGAAAAAAUGUGCUCAUUUUGUACUUUCCCCUUAAGUAAAGAGCUUGCAUUUCUAUGUAUUUAGCACUUAGCACAUGUCUAGUGCACAGUAGGCACUGAGUCAGUAUUGUUUUUAAGGAAUGAAUGACCAAUAUUAACCAGAAGCUUUUUUGUGGUCACUGUAACAAUGGCUUAGUGGGCAUC